GCGGAUGUGACUUAAAGGUAAAGUGCUUGGUUGAAGCGCCCUAAAAAGUCAAACCAACAAAGAGGUUCAAUUCCUUCCAUUCGCA
rnacentral:tRNA from 1 species